GUGAAUACCUGACCAACGUUGCUUCGGCGGUGCGCCCCCCCCCGGGGGGGUAGCCGCCGGAGACCACAUUGAACCUCUUGUCUUUAGUGUUGUCUGAGCUUGAUAGCAAACCUAUUAAAACUUUCAACAAUGGAUCUCUUGGUUCCGGCAUCGAUGAAGAACGCAGCGAACUGCGAUAAGUAAUGUGAAUUGCAGAAUUCAGUGAAUCAUCGAGUCUUUGAACGCACAUUGCGCCCCCUGGCAUUCCGGGGGGCAUGCCUGUCCGAGCGUCAUUGCUGCCCUUCAAGCCCGGCUUGUGUGUUGGGUCGUCGUCCCCCCCCGGGGGACGGGCCCGAAAGGCAGCGGCGGCACCGCGUCCGGUCCUCGAGCGUAUGGGGCUUUGUCACCCGCUCGAUUAGGGCCGGCCGGGCGCCAGCCGGCGUCUCCAACCUUCUAUUU
rnacentral:misc_RNA from 1 species